rnacentral:piRNA from 1 species
GGCAAGGAAUUGUUUACCACUGGAGUUGUC